rnacentral:rRNA from 1 species
GUGGGGAAUAUUGGACAAUGGGCGAAAGCCUGAUCCAGCCAUGCCGCGUGUGUGAAGAAGGUCUUCGGAUUGUAAAGCACUUUAAGUUGGGAGGAAGGGCAGUAAGUUAAUACCUUGCUGUUUUGACGUUACCGACAGAAUAAGCACCGGCUAACUUCGUGCCAGCAGCCGCGGUAAUACGAAGGGUGCAAGCGUUAAUCGGAAUUACUGGGCGUAAAGCGCGCGUAGGUGGUUUUGUAAGUUGGAGGUGAAAUCCCCGGGCUCAACCUUGGAACUGCCUCCAAAACUGCAUGACUAGAGUACGGUAGAGGGUAGUGGAAUUUCCUGUGUAGCGGUGAAAUGCGUAGAUAUAGGAAGGAACACCAGUGGCGAAGGCGACUACCUGGACUGAUACUGACACUGAGGUGUGAAAGCGUGGGGAGCAAACAGGAUUAGAAACCCGGGUAGUCC